rnacentral:lncRNA from 1 species
UGAGGGUCUCAGCUGAAUUCCACUCUUACCUCCACACCGUGUCCCCCACCAAAGGAAAAUGCCCCUCAGCCAUUUUCUUAGCUCACUUGAUUGAAUGAUUGCAAACUGUCACCCUUUGCUUUGGGUUUCACAGAUGCAGUAUCAGACAUUCCUUUUUUCCAGAGGUCUUUCUCUUUUGCUGAUUUCAAAUUUAAUGCUGGUUAACAGGUCGGGCUGGAUGAUUGCCCUAGCCCUACAGUGGCUGAGCAGGGACUUUAGGGAAAAAAAAUCUUGAUCUUUCUUUCCUUUUGCAUUCCCUCUUUCUGAGAGGCAGAGAAAUAUUUUGAAAGGUAUUUUUAGUUUUAAAUAGCAAAACACAAGCUGUAUUUUUUAUUUAUUGUGCCCAAGAAAGGUAAAUCUGUUUUUACAAAAGGAAAAAAAUCUAGAGUUGGAAACUCUGGGAAAACCUAUUGAAAUACACAAAUGCUUCUGUCUGUAAUGUGCAAUAUGCUUUGCAACUAUAGAUGAUAUUUUAUGUGUAAUCUGUAAAUAAGAAAUGUAUUUAAAUUAAAAGGGAGCUUUUUGUAAAAGGACCAAAUGUUCUUUUAUAAAUGUACUAAGAAAUAUCUUGCUCUUGGAAAUUUAUUAGGAUUUUUAUGAG